UUUUUUUUUUUUACUGUAAUCGUAAACUGGCCCGUUUGGUGCGCAGGAUAGUAUAGUGACNNNNNNNNNNNNNNNNNNNNNNNNNNNNNNNNNNNNNNNNNNNNNNNNNNNNNNNNNNNNNNNNNNNNNNNNNNNNNNNNNNNNUAAUCGUAAAUUGGUCCGUUUGGUGCGCAGGAUAGUAUAGUGACAAGAUAUGAUAUAAAACAGGAUAAGGAUAAGAUAUGAUAACAACAUGAUAACAUUUAUACUCAGUUAUCAUAUCCUAUGUUUGGUGCACGAAGGAUAAUAAACAUGAUAACUAUUAUAUUUUGUUUUUAAUACAUACUUGCUCAUAAUAAUAUGAUAAGAUAUAUAACAUAUUUAAUUGACAAAAUUACUCUUGUAAAACAAUUGUUAUUUUUUAAAAAUUAUUUUGUANNNNNNNNNNNNNNNNNNNNNNNNNNNNNNNNNNNNNNNNNNNNNNNAAUUUAAAUUAAUAUCCCUAUUUGUCAAUUUUUUAAUAAUCAUUUUACUUUAAAAUAUUGUAAUUUUAGUAAAAUUUUGAUUUUUUAAAAUAUAUAAAUUACAAAAUUACCCCUGUGAGAAAAUCACAUAAAUAUUUAAAAAUUAAUUAUUUUAUUAUUUAUAUUUUAUUAAUUUUAUUUUAUGUAUUUUAAAAUAUAUUUUAUAAAAUAAAUCAGUAAAUUUUUUUUCUUCUUAUCCUAUCCUGCUGGUAACUCAGCUCAAAUUCAGGAUAAGAAUUAUAACUAGAGAGACAGGAUAAGAUAAGCUUUAGGAUUAACUUAUCAUAUCCUGCUGUAUCAGUACCAAACACUAGAUUGCGACAGGAUAUGAUACAGUUAUCCUAUCCUGUUAGUGUUUUAUUAACCAUAAAACAAACUAUAAUAACCUACUGUGAAAUGAAAAUAGCCAUUAUCAGUAUCUUCACCUUUAUUUCCUUAUAUUUUUGCUUUUAUCUCUUUUUAUUUUUUUAUUUGGAUUUUCAAUAAAGUUAGAAACAAUAAAAACUUGAGAAAUUCUUAGGUGAGUCCUCAUCUAAGCAUUAAUUAUUAGGCACGACCAAUCAUAAAAUUACAACUCAUUAACAUAUUAAAUAAUUAUAAAUAAAUAAUAGAGCAUUAAUAAGAGCAAAUCUUAACCAAUCUUGGAAAAUAAGGAAAUAACAAAACUCAUGCCAACUUGAUUUGUUAUUGCGCCAAAUUUUAGUAAGUUAUAUUCCCUCCCAAUUUGUAUGUGUGGUGACACAAGAAAAUUGAUUUAAUUUGUGGUGUUCGAUAAAAUUAACGGUUGAAUUAGUUUAUAAAUAUGAAAUGAAAUAAAAGAGUAAUAUAUUUAAUUAAUAUUUAAUUUUUUAAAGUAAGAAUUUGGAAGAAAAAUUAAUAAGUAAUAAGCAAAUUGAAUUAGCUUAUAAAAAUACGUGCACAUACCUAGUAAAAAAAUUAUAAGCUCGUGUNNNNNNNNNNNNNNNNNNNNNNNNAUAUAUAUAUAUAUAUAUAUAUAUAUAUAUGAAUACGUACCAAACUAUAAUCGCAACUUAAAAUAAACAUAAAAAAUCAGUAAAACUCAGUGUACUUAGUAAAUAGUAGAGCAAUAAUAUUGUAGUAAAAUAAAUUAAAAUAUCCUUCACCUUAGUUAAACUUAAAAUGUAGGAAUAUAGUGCAACAUAAAAUUGUCUUCAUCUAAUUAUAAUAACUUAUAAUUAAAAUUGCUAUUUGCUAAAUGUAAUUGCAAAACAAAAAUUAUGUCAAAUGCCAUUCAAUAGUUUGAUGCUAAGAACAAAUUAUCCUUAUUUGUCUUGAUCAAUACUGCUACUUGGAGGCAACCAGCUAUAAUGGUAAGGUUCCUGUAAAAAAAAGUAAUUAGCAGAAGUGAAAUAUUAAUAUUAAAGAAGAAAAAGAAUAUAACANNNNNNNNNNNNNNNNNNNNNNNNNNNNNNNNNNNNNNNNNNNNNNNNNNNNNNNNNNNNNNNNNNNNNNNNNNNNNNNNNNNNNNNNNNNNNNNNNNNNNNNNNNNNNNNNNNNNNNNNNNNNNNNNNNNNNNNNNNNNNNNNNNNNNNNNNNNNNNNNNNNNNNNNNNNNNNNNNNNNNNNNNNGCCAUUCAAUAGUUUGAUGCUAAGAACAAAUUAUCCUUGUUUGUCUUGAUCAAUACUGCUACUUGGAGGCAACCAGCUAUAAUGGUAAGGUUCCUGUAAAAAAAAGUAAUUAGCAGAAGUGAAAUAUCAAUAUUAAANNNNNNNNUAAAGAAGAAAAAGAAUAUAACAGAAGAAAAUACAACCAUGUAAAUAGAAAGAAACGUAGAAACAAUAAUAUAGACAGGGAUGGACACAAGUAGGGGCUGGGUGUGGCUAAAGCCAUACUAGAUUUUUCAAUUUUUUUUUAAAAAAAAUAUAUAUAGAGUGAUUAAGAAAAAAUCCAAGACAGAAACAGAAUAGAAGACCAAUUUUUCACGUUUCAGCAGCAGCAACGUAUUUCUUUCUCUUCCUCUUCACCGCCACUCAUCUUCACAUCGUGAAAAUUGAUCUUCUAUUCUAUUUCUGUCUUGAAUUUUUUCUCUUUCACUCUAUAUAUAUUUUUUAAAAAAAUAAAAAAAAUUGAAAAAUUUAGUGUAGCUUUAGCCACACCCAGCCCCUCCUGUGUCCGUCCCGGUGAUGAGCUAGAUGACUCUCUUAAUACUAAAAGAAUGGCAAGGAUGAGUUUCAUCUAAGUCUAACUUUUGUGUCAUGAAUUUGAUUGACAUGAAAGAACCAUCCAAUAAUUAUCUUUUAGGACAUUUUGUUUAAAGAUGUUUAUAGAAAUUAUGGCCGAUAUUUUGUUAUGAGGUUUGUUUAACCACGAUAUUUGAUUUUUUGCUAUGAGGUUUGAUUCAAUCCAAUUGAAACCCGUGAAAGCAACGAUAUCUUAAAGCAACUACAACAAAUAAAUUAUCCAAUUAAAGUUAUAAAUACGUGCAACGUAUUUUUCAUAUUAAACAUCAACUAAUAUAUUAUGUCCUUUUGUAAGAAGAAUUUGCAUAUUCUAACAUAUAGUUAAGUGGCUUAAAAAUAUAUUUUAUAACCUUCAUGUAGUUUGUACUUUGCAUUUAAUUGAGAAAUGUGCAGUCAACUGGUGCAAACCUUGUAUAUUAGGAGUUCAAAAUUAAUAUAAAUGGGAUUAUAAGUGGAAUUUCAACAAAUUGAAGGGGUGCCAAUUGUGCAAGUGAGCCCCUGGUCACUAUAACUGGUUUGUCUAAGAGUAUAAUUUAGUUUAAUCUUAUAAAAAAUGUUUUGUGUUCGAUUGACUUGCGAAGACUGAAGUCCUUUAAAGAUUUAUAAUAAUGGUUAUCCUCAACUCAGUUUCGUGUUGAUGACUGAUGUUGUAGAUUUUAUUCAUCCGCAAGCUUAAUUUAUUUUCUUGUUGCUGUGUCGCUUGUGCUUAUUUUCCAGCUCAUAAAAAAUAAGAAAUGGGUUGCAAGAAAUUAAUUCAUGGUUUUGUCAAAAUUUAUCUCAAGUUUUUAUCAAAAUUGCUUUGAACCUUAAUUUGAUUACCCAAAAGAAUGUUUUUUUUUACAUCCUCUACACAUAACUGUAAAGAUUAAUUCAUCGAGUUUUGUCAGAUUCAAGAGUGACCCUUAGAGAGUACAGAGUGCCCAAAGAAUGUCUUCUAAAAAAUAUUCCCUCCGUUCCUUUAUACUUGUCAUUUUAGAAAAAAAUUUGUUUCAAAUUACUUGUCGUUUUGAUAAUUUAAGGUUAAAUUUUGUCUAUCAUACCCUCAUGUAAAUCCCAAAUAUUUAGGAGUAGUUGUUGAAACCGUAAAAGAUUUAAUAUAUAUUUGGAAAACUGAAGUAUUUUUUUUAAUUUUUUUUGGUACAUAAUAUAUUAAAUUUAUUGGAAAGAGAAAGUGUGUGAAAAAAAAUUGGUGAAUUAAAAAAGUGUAUAAUAGGAAGAUAAAGUGCAAAAAUAUACUAUCUUAAUUUAUUGUUUUUUCUAAAACGACAAGUAAAAAGAAACAAAGAGAGUAUUUGUAUAUAUCUCUUAAAAGAAUUAUAAAUAAAGUCAUUAGGUUUGGUCUAGUGGUGAAGGACUUGAGUAAUACACUAUAGGUCAUCAGUUUGAUUCCCAGCUCAUUGUAAACAAUAAAUAAAUAAAUAAAAGAAUUAUAAUUAAAAAACAAAAUAAAAAUUUCCAAUACUUUUUUCAUCUAUUUUUGUUCGCCUAAUCUAAAGUGACUAGGUCUAUUUUUCAGGAAAAUAAAAUUAAAAAACAAGGAUUUGUCAUGUCUCAAACACAAAUAAAAAUACGUGUAUCUUCUCCUUCUCCAUCCACUUAUAGAAGGAAUGUAUUUUUGAAGUAGCUAGAAGAUAUUUUAUUGUUAUUGAUAUGAAUAUAAAUAUUUUUUAUCUGAGUUACAAAUGAUGACUAUUUUUUUUUUAUGUUAUUUACAAUUUAAAUGAGUAUUAUUUUUUGAGUUUUUUUUUUUGUUUUUUUAAUUAUUAAGUGGUUUAUACAUUCAGUGUCAGACCUCCAAAUUGUCAACGUCGGUUAUGAGUGAUAAAUAUUCCCUAAAAGUUUUAACGUUGCUACAUAAUUAAAUAAAAAAAAAUGCUAAACAGUACCACCAGACACUAGUUAAUGAUACAAAUAUGAAAAUUGGGUCAUGUUAACAUAUGCCCUAAGGGCACAUGAUAAAAUACCUAAAUAUAGAAAUUUAGCAUUUAAUGAUACAAAAUAUUAAAUGUUAAAAAAGUUGAUUACACGAUUUUCAAGAGCAUAUUUCCACAUUUAUCUCAUUAAAAUGUGCCUUAAGGACACAAGUUAACAUUUUCCUUCUUUUUUUUAGUAUGUUUAACUAGUGCACGAAACACUUUUUAGCAUAACCCUUAAAUCAAAUAUCAAACUCAAAACUUUAUUUAAAUUAGAAGAGAUUUACGGUAUCUCGUCUAAUCGCAUUUGUGUAACAAAAAAAAAAAGUUGUAUGCAAGUGUUUUUUUCACAUCCUAUAUUAUUAUAUUAACAACAAAAAAAAUGUAGUUCAACAACACCAACCCCACAAUUUCAAUGCCUGUGCCAGUUCAAAUAGGAAAGGAAAUAGUAACCGUAACAAGACCACAUUAUUCACACACAAAUGUCAAAAUCAAAUGUUAAUGUGAUGCCAAAAAAGAAAGAAAAAGAAACGGGGUUUUCUUUUCCUGGCAAAAUCCUCGCAUAUUCCUCUGUCCUCCAAGGCUACACUAUGCUUUUAUCUCAUUAACUUUUUUGACAUAAACAAACAUAAAUACUCAUUGUUUCCAAGCAUGCACAAUUUUCCAAUUUUGUUCUUGUGCACACUUGACAUUUUUCCAAACAAUUUUAACAUUGCUCUGUAUGAUCCAAUGCCAGACUCGGAUUUGAAUCUGACUUUUUUUUUUUGUUAAAUUAAAAAUAAUCCGUAAAUAAUUUUUUAACUAAAAAAUCCAAUUUUUUUAAAAUGAAGCUGAAAAUUGAAUUAAUACCUCUAGCAUAUUAUCCAAACUACCCCAUUAUAUCAGAUUUAAUGGCUUAUUAAAAAAAUCCUUUUCAAUCUUAUCUAUAUGCAAUGCUUUUAGGUAUAAUAUUAAUUUUCCAAAUUUUUAUUUAUUGAUAAGCAUUAAUUUUCCAAAUUUGAUACAUCUCUUGUUACUUUAAAACUAUUUUUAUAAUACCAAAAAAAAAAAAAUUCUAUUAUACAAAAAGAAACUAUUUCCUAUUGAAUAAAAAAAUCUAUUUUCUGUUAAAAAAAUAAAAUAAAAAAAGCUUUCUAUUAUAGCCUUUUAAUUUCUUAAUAUUUUUUAUUUAAUGAAUAUAGUGACUAAACCAUAAAACAUUUCUCAUAUUUUUUAAUGAAUACUCAUUUAAUAAUUUUUUUUACAUACCAUAAAGUAAUAUUUAAGAAAUCCUCUCACACAAUUAUUUUACACGGACAAUGAAAAUAAAUUAAAAAUAUAUCUUAUUAUACAAACUAUUAUAAAUACACUAGUCUCACAUCAUUUGACAAUCGAGAUUAAUACUAAUUUAUGUACAACAUCCAUAUCUUUCAAAUUAUCAAGACACCUUUUCUACGAAGCUUUGACAAGUUAACCCAAAAUGGACAAUAUCUAAAAAUGUGAAAUUGAGGUCGGAUCGGAAUAAGAACUAAAAUUAAUUUUGCCAAGUGAAAUUAAAACAACACACACGAAUGACUCAAGAUCCGAGUCCAACCAACGUAGGAAACAAUUUAUUUUCACACAUAAAUGAAUACAGUUGGACCGUGUCGUAUUUUAAUUUUAAUUUUUAUAAUAAUAAAUCUUAAUUUUAUUUUCUCUCUCUAUUACACUUCAAAAUUGAAUUAAUUUAUUUGCGUUAUUAUGUCUUAAUUUUUCUUCUUCUUCUUCAGCUGCUACUACUAUUUCUCUCUUUCUCUCUCUACUGAUUUUCUCUCUCAAUUUCUCCGGCGAACAUUUCUUCUUCCUUUGACUUGCACCGAUCACAAUCCACUGCCGCCGACGACUUAGUCAGCCAUGGGUCAUUGCUGCAGCAAAAUUGCUGUCGACAACGAAACAAUCACCACCGAUCACAACCACAAACCACCACCUAAUCACGCACCAUCACCGUUUUCUCAACCUAUUUCCACCGUCAGCGAUGCUACACCAGGAAGACAAACUCCGGCGACAUCUUUCUCCACAAGUCCUUUCAAUAGUCCUCUUCCUGCAGGUGUUAUGCCGUCUCCGGCUACCAAGACUCCUGGUAGGAAAUUCAGGUGGCCACUUCCUCCACCGUCUCCGGCAAAGCCGAUUAUGGCGGCUUUGAUGAGACGGCAAGGGAAGACGAAACCGAAAGAUGGACCGAUACCGGAGGAACAAGGUGGGGAAGGUGGUGGAGAUGGAGAGAGAACGUUGGAUAAGAGUUUUGGAUAUGGGAAGAAUUUUGGGGCCAAAUUUGAGCUUGGUAAGGAAGUUGGUCGAGGGCAUUUUGGUCAUACUUGUUGGGCUAAAGGGAAGAAAGGUGAACUUAAGGGAGUAUCAGUUGCUGUCAAAAUCAUUACCAAAGCUAAGGUGAAAAUUAGGAUCAUAAAUUUUAUAUUUUUUAUAUAAAAUUUGGUUUUUGAUGAUGAUGAUUAAUUGAAAAAGUCAAUUGUUAAGAUAAUUUGAUGCGUGUUUAGUACUCUAGUCUUGGUCAAUGAAUUCAAGAUCAAUUGUUGACUUUUGUGAGUAUUUUGAUUUUGAUGAUUCAAUUGAAGUUUGUGAUUAGUGUUUGUUUAUGUUUUUGGUUUUGAAUUUGGUAGCUCAGUUUGGAAGUCAAGUUAACUUCUUUGGAAAACUAUGAUACCAAAUUUGAAUUUUUUCCAUGUUUAGUUGAUAUAUUCGGAAUCGAUACCAUUAAUAAUACAUUAUGGAAAAUGGUAAGGUAGUAUAGUUUUGCAAAGAAGUUCGAAAUGGUUAUACUUUUAUUGGUGAUGUUAGAUGUUGCUUUCCAUAGUAUUAAGACAACCUUUGUCAUUGACAUUUUCUAAAUUAAUGCUGCUUUAGGUAGUCAAUAGCGGCUGCUGUAGAGUAGAGUUGUCACGUAGCAUAGCAGCCCCUAGAGGUUAUAUGAAACCCUACUACGUUGCACUUUUUAGUAACGGCCGUAGCAGCCAAACAGGUGAUGCAACGGUCGUUACAAUGAAGCUCCCAUAAAAACCCGAACAUGCAACUAACUCUGUUUUUUUUCCCUUCCUUUUUUAGAUGUUGAUAGCUUUAAAAUUGAAGUUUCAAUCAAAAGUCAAUUGUUAAGAUUAUUGAUGUGUUUUUACUUGGGAGUUUAGGUGGUAUGCAUGUUUGGUACUCGGUCAAUUCAGGAUCAAUUGUUGAAUUUUGUGAGUAUUUUGAUGAUUGAGAUGAAUUUCGUGUUACGUUGGUAAGUUUUAGUGGUAAAUGUAAUAUGUGAUUAGAGUUUUCUAUUUUUUUUGAAUUUGGAAGCUCAAUUUAGCAGUCAAGCACUCUUUGAAAAGCUGUGAUACCAAAUUUGAAUUUGUUUCAACUUUAGCCCAUAUAUUAUGAGUGGAUACCAUACCAAUACGAUAAUGGAACUUGGUAAGGUAGUAAGUAACCUAUGUUAUUGGUAAUGUUUUGCAAUGAAGUUCCAAAUUAUUUUAUUGGUAACGUUAAAUGUUCCUCUCCUGUUUAUAGUAUUAAAUUAACCUUUGUUAUUUCCAUUUUCUAAGUUAAUGUUGGUCUCAGUAGUCCAUGGUGGCCGCUACAGCAGUGUUGUGUAGCAUAGCAGCCCCUAGGGAUUAUAACUUAUACGAAACCCCACUGUGUUGCAUUUUUCAGUAGCAGCUGUUACAAUGAAGCUCCCGUAAAAACCCGAACAUGCCACUAACUUAUAAUCAGUCCCUGUGGUUGUUUUUUUUAUUAUUUAUUUUUAAUAAUUUUUUUGGUCUUUUACCCUAAAACUUAUUCGAUUUAAAUUGGGCUUGAAUAUGGGUAAAAAAGAACUAAGUCACGAAUACCAGAAUAUGUCUUUAACUUUACGUAUUCUCAUAUUUUUAUAUUUUAUAUGUGUAUGGGAAUUAUUAUGAUAUAAAUUUCUCGUAUUGUUACAUUAAGAUGUAACAGCCGUAUUACUAUCCGUUGUACUGCAACACAUUUUGGGGGUUGGCCGCUACACUCCACUAUCCACCAUUACAUAUAUGCUGGUACGAUAAAGGAAAAUGCCUGAAAACCUGUUUUUCCAAUCAAAUUCAUAAGUACCGAAAGCCAAACAUUACAGGAUUAAUUAUGCCAGAUAAUGCUUCUUUUAAAAGGGAAACCAUCGGGGAAAAAUGAUGUGGCAAAGAAAUUUGGUUGCAACUGGUUCUUAAUCUCUGGUUGGUUUCUUGGGAGCAUCACAAUAAAUUGUUGAGAUUAGGGUGGCAAAAAUGUUGGAGUUACUAUGUGACUAGAAAAGCACGGCUCUUAAAAACAGCUUGCCGCAAAUACUUUACAAAUGCACGGCGAGGUUGCUUACAGUAGACUCCCAAAGGGUCCAAAAACUAAGAAAAAGGUGAAGUUGUAACAUCUAUAGCAAGGGCAAGCCAUUGCAUUUUGUGGCUUUUGUUUAAGUUAUUCUGCAUGCAGGAAUUAUGAUUUUCCAAAAGUUUUUUUUUGGUUCUAUUGAUGGGCAAUUGUUUGCGUAGUGAAGCUCAUUGGUCAUAUCCCCUUUUACCGGUACAAGGAUGGAUGAAACCGUUCAAGUUACUAGUUUUUUAUUUGACAAAAGCUGUUUCAGGCAUCUGGUUAGAUCAUUAGUAAUCAUAUUGGUGUUUAGUUGUACACUGAAGAAUGCAUAUACCGAACCUGGGUAUUUGUUAUUGUUUUUCAUGUGCAUUAUGAACUGAAUUGGAGUGCAGCAUAUAUGCUCAAUAACAAAAAGUAAGAGGAAAAUUGAGAUCACGGAGCAUGGGAAUAAACAGCACCUUUCUUAUUGAUGAUUGAUGAAAAUUACCAGAAUUAUACCUUUAUUGCGAGUCCUAUAGGCAUAAGACAAUUUAGAGCUUUCAUUUUAGCUACUUGGCCUCUGGUGGGUGAUGUUUCUAGGAAGAGCAUGAGAAAAAGCUGAACCUAUACUCCUGCAACUUUUAAUUAUUCUCUAAACAAUCAAAUUGGAGUCUGAGAGUAAAUUUUAAUUUGGGACGGGGAAAUUGCAUAUUGUGAUGCUAUGGUUGUUGCUUCUGUUUUUUCAUGACAUAGAUCAACAUUAAUUGAGCUUUGAUUUUCACCUUUUUUUUUUAUCUCGCAUUGCAAUUUUUGCUUGCAGAUGUUUAUUGCGAUUAACUGAUUUUUGUAUGGCAGAUGACUUCUGCAAUAGCAAUUGAAGAUGUGAGGAGGGAGGUGAAAAUGUUGAAGGCCUUAUCUGGACAUAGGAAUUUGGUCAAGUUUUAUGAUGCAUUUGAGGAUGCGAACAACGUCUACAUUGUGAUGGAGUAUGUAUAGAAACAAUUAUAUCUGAAAAUUUCUUUCAGUCUUGAUAGGAUUUUAUUCAUAUUUUGAUCUACUGGUAAAUUGUGUUCUCAUGAAGUUAUUGGGUAAAAAAGGACUUGAUCAUAAGUACAUGUUUUCAAUAAUGUUAAUAAUAUGAGCAGAUUUUGUAGCUGUGUAGUACAUACAACUUUUAAAUUAUUCAUUUAUCCCGAAUUAAUGAGAUAUUCUUGUUGUUGUCAGGUUGUGCGAGGGCGGAGAAUUACUGGACAGAAUUCUAGAUAGGUAAAACCUAAAGAUUGUUUUUUAUUUACUAUCUGUUACUUUGUUGUCCCUCCAUACUUUUCUUGCAAAAGUUCGAUCUUUAAAUAACAUGAUUGUAAUUGGAGUCAUUUGAUGUUAAUUAUUUAUGAAGAGGUGGAAGAUACCCAGAGGAUGAUGCCAAAGUUAUUCUUCUACAAAUUCUGAAUGUAGUUGCCUUUUGUCAUCUUCAGGGAGUUGUUCAUCGCGAUCUAAAACCAGAGGUAUAUGGCACUGUGAAGUUUGAACUACUUAUGUUACUUGGUCACACCUUUCAGUGCACAUGGAAUUUUGUUUGUAUCAUUACUUCUCGUAUUUAUAACUUGUAAUCCUAAUGCUUUACCUACAUUGCAGAAUUUUCUUUUUGUCUCAAAAGAUGAGGAUGCUGUUUUGAAAGUUAUUGACUUUGGUCUAUCUGAUUUUGUUAGGCCAGGUAAUAUGAUUGAAUCGACCUUGCUAUAUUCAGUAUCUAAUUGUAUAAUAAAUCAUAUCCUAGAUUCCUAGUUACUAACUCUCUUGUAUUUAAGUUUCUUCCUAGUUUUAGCUUCGGCAUAUUGAAUUCACACAUUCAAAUUGCCGGAUAAAAUAUCAUAUGUUUUAUGCCAUAUGGUCUGACACUUUCAGAUUUUUUGGGAUAUCCACACAGCUGUACAAUGGAAAAAUUGUGAUAUUUUACCAUGUAUCACAAUUUCAUCAGUCUUUAAUUUUGAAAUGGACAUCUAUAUCUAUGAUUGAAAUAAUUGCAGUAGUUUUGUUGUGAAAUUAAGAACUCAACACGCUUAAAACUUUUUAAUAUUUUCCAUCUGCUUGAAAUAUCUGAUACUACCGAAUCGUUGAUAUGAUAUCUUUAAAUACCUUUUAAAAACCACUUUCUAAAUGGCGUUUUCUUGUGGAUAUUUCAUUAUUUUUGUACAAUAUUUUGUUUUUUUCUUCUCUAUUUAAGUUAUCUGUGGAAACAAAAUCGAGAUUAUAUAAACAGAGAUGCUAUUAGUACCUGUAAUGAUUGUUGUCUUGCAAAGAAACUAGGGGAAUAUUCAUUAGAAAACUUUUUAAUAUCUGUAUUAGUCUAUAUUAGUAAUGAAGUAAUGUUAUUUUCUACUAGUCAAAUACAUCCAUUUGCUUGUCAAAUGCUUUUUCACUAAUUUACUGAUUUAGAUGAAUUUGAGGACUUGCAUUAAUGCCUUAUGAUCAUUGCCGUUCUUCAAUUGAUUUUUGCACUGAUAGCACUGACUUCUUAUAAACAUGCAGAUCAACGCCUCAAUGAUAUUGUUGGUAGUGCCUACUAUGUUGCACCUGAAGUGCUCCAUAGAUCGUAUAGUGUUGAAGGAGACUUAUGGAGUAUUGGAGUUAUAACUUACAUAUUGUUAUGUGGAAGUAGGCCGUUUUGGGCACGGUCUGAAUCAGGAAUCUUCCGGUCUGUGUUAAGAGCAAAUCCUAACUUUGAUGAUUCACCUUGGCCAUCAAUAUCACCAGAAGCUAAAGACUUCGUGAAGAGACUUUUGAACAAAGACCACAGAAAAAGAAUGACUGCUGCUCAAGCUUUAUGUAUGUUUUGCUUAGACCAUGCUUAACUGAAUGGUUAAUUGUUUGUAUUGAAAUUUCUACGACACGCAAACACUCCUAAAUAUUAUUCUGUGAUUUUUAAUACUAAAAUUACCUCAAUAUGUGCAGCUCACCCGUGGUUGAGAGAUGAAAAAAAUGCCAUUCCUUUAGAUAUUUUGAUUUACAAGUUAGUCAAGUCAUAUGUGCGUGCCUCACCUUUGAAGCGUGCAGCGUUGAAGGUAGUCACCUGUUAUACCAUUAGUAGAAAUGCGUCUUUUGUCUGACAAUGGAAGAAGAGUAAUGUUUUCUGUUUUCUUUUUCUUUAUAUCAAUGCAGGCUCUCUCAAAAGCAUUGCCAGAUGAAGAGCUUACCUACCUUAGAGCACAAUUUAGCCUCUUGGAACCUAGAGAUGGUUUUGUUUCACUCGAGAAUUUCACAGUUGUAAGUGCACGAUUUUUGCAAAUUUAUGUCCUCUAUUACAUGAAGUAUUAAAGUAUUAAACACAUGCAAUAUUAUUAUCUGUUAACCCUAUUUAGUGUAAAUAUGCUAUGCUCAUCUACUAGAUUUGUUAAAUUAGUCUUUUAUGGUUUAAACUUUGUAGUCGGUCUAUUUGCUAUUCCCCNNNNNNNNNNNNNNNNNNNNNNNNCCCAUCUCUAAACCGAAAUUAAUAAAAUUAUAAUAAAUUCAGGCUCUAAUGAAAAAUGCAACUGAUGCCAUGAAGGAAGCAAGGGUCCCUGACAUUCUAAAUUUGGUAAGUCAUAUUUGUUGUGAUUAGAUGUUUUUGUUUUUCUUCCAACUUCAUCCAUUUUCUCAAAAAAUUGUAUACCAUGUCGUGAUUGAUUCAUAUGAUAAUAAACUGAAAACAAGCAGUUGCAUAAUAUUGAGGGGCACUGUGAUAUUGAGUUAAAUGAUGUAUAUAACCUUUAAGUCCGGCUCAUUUUCUCGACAACGGUAAUUAAUGAAAAUAGGAAGUAACUAUAAUUUGUUUAUACUUUAUAGUGAAAAUGUUCAGACGGUAUCAGUACCACCAUGAUCAUAUUGUAGUUAUUUGUUAUUUUUCUUAAGGAAAUGUAUUUAUUUUUUCCUUCGAAUGCAAAUAUAGUAUGAAAUAUCUGAAAUGCAUGUUUCUUGAAAUAAGAUGGAUCCGCUCUCCUAUAAAAGAUUGGACUUCGAAGAGUUUUGCGCUGCUGCAAUAAGUGUAUACCAGCUGGAAGUUCAUCCAGAUUGGGAUAAAAUUGCCACCGCAGCUUUUGAUUAUUUUGACGAGGAAGGGAACCGUGUCAUUUCACUCGAGGAGUUGGCACAGGUUUGCACAUUCAUUCCAAUAGCGCCUACUUUUGUUAAUUUUGUUUUAAAAGCUACGAAAUAGCCUAUACUUAACACUCUGGUAUAUUGUGUUCUUCAGGAGAUGAAUUUGGGGCCUUCUGCUUACUCUUUAAUGGGUGAUUGGAUCAGAAAAUCCGAUGGAAAACUCAGUUUGGUCGGAUAUACGAAGUAUUUGCAUGGAGUCACAAUUCGUAGUUCAAAUACAAGACACAGAUAGCUAUGAUGAUUAAAAGGAGAUGUUAUUAUAUUUAUUGAAAUUAGUUUGUGUUCUUUUCUUUUUAAAUUUGAAUUGAAAUAUUUUCUUUUUGAAUUUGAAUUGAAAGGAAAAUGGUACAAAGGGUCUAUAAGCAAAUAUUUUUUGGGGACUUUGGGGAUUGUAUUGUAUCAGUAUCAGUAUCAUGAUGGAAAAGUAGAGGUAGCUAACAUAUUGUUUUGUUCCUCAUGUGAUAUUUGUGGUGCAAAGUAAAAAUUCUCUCAUUUUACUUGUGAGCAUAAAUGCAACUUGCUUUCUUAUAAGAUUUUAUGUGAAGAUUAAAGACUCUUCUAUUUGAGUCAACUUUAUCAUACGCCACCAAAUGUAGCACUUUGUUUUGUUUCACAAGAAUAUUGUGGUAGAUAAAUGCGGUAGUUAAGACUUAAAAUAGGCCAUGUUGUUACAUAACUUAAGGAAUUAUGUGUAUUUGGUCUAUAGAUCCAUGUUUAAAAUGAUAGAUUAUUCUUUGUAGGACUGGUCAAAAUUCAAAAGAAAAGAGACGCGCUUAUAUUAUGCUUCUAGCUCAUAUGAAAAGAGAGAAUAUGUUGUGACUUGUGACAUAAGUGGUGUGAGGAUGAUUGGGUCUCUCUCUCCCCACUUAAUCAUUUGGUUCAAAAGUUUGAUUAUAAUUUGUCAAAAAAAAAAAUAAGUUUGAUUAUAAUUGGAGCCUCUGUAAAAUUGAAGCAAAAAAAAUAUUUUUCGUAAUUGAGAGAACGAUGUUGAAGUAAACAAUAAGUCGAUUAUUGUAAACCGAGGAGUACUAAAUAUAAACAAAAAUAAUCAAUUCCACACACACAAAAAUGUUAGUGAACAUAAUAUAAUUUUCUAAAUAUUAUAACAAAAAUAUAAUUGUAUUUUCUAAAUUAUCAUUUGUCAUUAUUUAAUUUUCUAUAAAAAUUUGUUUCAUUUGAACAUCAAUUAAUGGAUUAAAUGUUUUUUUUCCUUUUCGGAAGAGUAAAUUUAGUUGAUCUUGAGUGAUAAGAAUUGGUGGCCCGCGUAAGCAGUGAGUCAAAGUUAAAGUUGGUAGAGUACCUACAAACACUUUGAUGCUCACCUCUGUAUAAGAACGUGAAACGAAAGGUUUUCAGUUGCGUAUCAUGUGAGGUGUUGGAAGUGAACCCCUUACUUACAUAGAGGGACGAGUAGUCUCUGGACAUCAUAUCAUAUCAUUAAAGUGUGGCUAUAAUGGACAGUGCCCUUCAACAUUGUGCUCGAAAUGAACAUUAAGGUUGCAGAGACAUUAAGGGUGUUCUUCAACAUUUGUGACUCUUGAUGUGAAGAUAUCUUGGAAGAUGUUUUCUCUCCCGACCUCCCGUGAUUCUUUUAUAUCUCUCAAUAUUUCAAUUUUGCCCUUGAUUCGCAGAAAUCGAAUUUUUUCAAUUGCAAAUUCAGAGUAAAUUUUGGUUUUUAGAAACCGAAAUUUGUUUUCAAGACAAAAAAAAAAACUUCGGUUUCUACAAACCGAAUUUUUUUGCAAGGGCAAAAUUGGAAAUUCAUGCGGUAUAAAAGAAACAGGGAUGUCGGAAGAGAAAACAUCAUCUUGGAAUGGGUCUAUCGGGCCUAUGUAUUUCUGGGCCGGACAGAGGAAGCGAGCAUGGGCCUCGGCCCAUUCUAGCAUAAUAUGGAAGUUAGUUGACAUUUUUUUAAUUAGUUUUUCAGUUAGUUGACAUUUUAUUAUUAUUAUAUAUUAAUAAUUAAGUUGACAUUUUUGAAUUGAAUGUAUCAAACAUGAUUUGUGUUCUGACAAAAUAACAAAUGAUUUGUACGUUUUCUUUGUAUAUUCUAGACUCCAAUAUUAUGGAGGAAGAAACUAUUGACAUGGUUUCCUUUUAACAAAAAAAGGUAUUGACAUUAUAUUUGUCCCAGAAGUAACGUUGAAUCACAUUGCAUUUUUUCAUUUGAAAGUUAAAAGCUUAAAACACCAAUUCAGCUUUGUCAAUGUCAUCAAAAUUAGUGUGUCGAUCAAAAUAAAAAACGUCAUCAAUAUUAUUAAUUACUAGUAUAAAAGUUUGAAUGGGUCUGAGUUUGUGAUGAAAAAUACGUUACGUUGAGAUUAAUUAAAUAAACAAAAUGGUCUGCAGAACGUGGCGGAUUAGUUGUCAAACGCUGGAUUAAUUGCCGAAACAAGUAAAAAGCUGCUGUUUAGUGAAGGCACGAUUCAUAUUGGAAUUGGACAUGUAUGAAUGAAGACUCUCUCAACAAACAUAAAAAUAUUAGAAUACUUCUUUUCUAAUAAUAGUUUCUGAUGGAUAGUUAUGAACUUUUUGUUUUAUUUUAUCAAAUAAAAUAAAAUAGAUUUUAAUUUUAGUAAAUUCUCCUGUACACGUUAUGUGGAUAUGUACCAGUACAUUUGUUGAGAUGGAUGAUUCUAAUUGAUUUACAAAUAAUAUUUAUUAAUUUUUCUAUAUUAAAUAUUAUUUGUGAAUCAAUCACAAUCAUCCAUAUAAGCCGUGUACCGAUACAUAUCCACGACAUGUGUACUGGAGUGUUCCCCAUAAAUUAUAUCUAUCCCAUCCCAUGAAGUUAGUUCUUUGCUAUCUUUUACAAUAUGAGAGAUGAUUUGUAAAAAAAAAGAAAAAAGAGAUGAUUGCACCAAAAAUAAAAUAAAAUGAGAGAUGAUAGUUAGAAAUUAACUUGCUAGGUUGAGAAUAAUUUAGAGGUAAUUUAUUACAACCUGCGGUUGUUAAUAUAAGCUAGUACGGGUCGUAACGUUACGAAGAUAUUUUUUUAAGUUAUAGUUUAGUAAUCAAAAUUGGAAGCAGAUGUUUUUAAAAUUUAGAUGUAGUUAAUAAGUAUUUAGAAUUUUGUUGGAAAUAUGCAGACAAUAUUUUUUACAAAGUGUUAAUUAUGAAUUUUGAUUGGUUUUAAAGGUAAAAAUAGUUAUAUGGUGUAAAUUUGUGAAGAGACAUAAAAUUCACUUUGAACAUGUACCUAAAAGACAUAAGACUUUAAAUAGUUACAUAAUUUUUGUUAACCAAAAGAACAUUGGAAAACAAAGUUAGAACUUAUCCGCAUAAAAUAAGUUUUUUGAAAUUUUUAUAAGUUAGAAUUUGUCAAUUUUUAUCAGUUAGAAUUUGUCAAUUCAAUUUUUAUAAGUUAUUCACUUUGAACUUGUCUCACAUUUAAUAAAUAUUUCUCAACUUUUAUCAGUUAGAAUUUAUCUUGUACAGAUAGUUAAUUUGGAAUAUAUAAGUUAGAACUUAUUCUGUAUAAAAUAAGUUUUUUGAAAUUUUUAUAAUUUAGAACUUGUCUCGCAUAUGAUAAUUAUUUUGAAAUUUUUAUAAGUUAGAAUUUGUCCCGUAUAUGAUAAUUAAUUUGAAAUUUAUAUAAGUUAGAACUUAUCCCGUAUAAAAGUUUUUUUUUGAAAUUUUUAUAAUUUAGAACUUGUCUCACGUUUGAUAAUUAUAUUAAAAAUUUUAUCAGUUAGAAAUUGUCUUGUAUAUGAUAGUUAUUUGAAAUUUAUAUAAGUUAGAACUUAUUUCUAAUAAGAUAGUUUUUUUAAAAAAAAAUUGUAAUUGGUUAGAACUUUCUCACAUUUGAUAAUUAUUUUAAAAUUUUUAUCAAUUAGAAUUUGUCCCAUAUAUAUAUAUAUAUAUAUAUAUAUAUANNNNNNNNNNNNNNNNNNNNNNNNNNNNNNNNNNNNNNNNNNNNNNNNNNNNNNNNNNNNNNNNNNNNNNNNNNNNNNNNNNNNNNNNNNNNNNNNNNNNNNNNNNNNNNNNNNNNNNNNNNNNNNNNNNNNNNNNNNNNNNNNNNNNNNNNNNNNNNNNNNNNNNNNNNNNNNNNNNNNNNNNNNNNNNNNNNNNNNNNNNNNNNNNNNNNNNNNNNNNNNNNNNNNNNNNNNNNNNNNNNNNNNNNNNNNNNNNNNNNNNNNNNNNNNNNNNNNNNNNNNNNNNNNNNNNNNNNNNNNNNNNNNNNNNNNNNNNNGUAAAAUCUGGUUUGAUAAAACAUUUUUCCACUCACAAAUGCCCCACAUAGCUCAUAUGACUUGGUUUCAUUUGAAAAUGAGUGUACUUUUAGUUCAAUCAUCAAAUUUUUGGACAUCAAUUACCCUUACUUUGGGCACAUGGCAACACCUUAAGCAAUAAUAGUUUAAACUUAUCAAGAACAAUUAACUUUCUUAUAUAGAUUAGAUAUUUAGCCAUUAUAAGUUAAAUAUAUUAGUUAGUGAAUAUAUUAAAAUGUAAUUUUUUUUUAUAUUAAAUAUAAGAGGAAGUAUAUUUCUUUAGUUCAAGCAUCACACAUGGAAUAUAUAUAGUGCUCACAUAUGGAAUAUAUAUAGUGCUUAUCAAAAAGAAAAAAAGGGCAGAGAGUAAUUAUUUAGAAGGUUUAUUAAAUUUUAUUUUAAUUAUAGAAAAUUCUCACUGGUUUAUUUAUUUUUGUCUUAUGAUGUAGAGGUGUUGAAAUUUCUCGCUUAAGUCCUUAAUUAGUUGCAGUUUUUCUAGAAUUGGGUAUACAUAUCAAUGUUUGCAGGCGGAUCCAUUUAACCCAUAAUUUGUGCGGAUUUAUGAUAUUUUUUUUGUCCAUUUAUAUUUUGUUUGUGUGAGUGUUUUUUUUUGACUAAAAAUAAAGGAUAUUCAUUCAUUCAAACUGAUAGAGUACAUCGAUGUAAUACAAAUACAAAUUUGCUNNNNNNNNNNNNNNNNNNNNNNNNNNNNNNNNNNNNNNNNNNNNNNNNNNNNNNNNNNNNNNNNNNNNNNNNNNNNNNNNNNNNNNNNNNNNNNNNNNNNNACCUGAAAUCACCCCUCUUUGAUAAACUAAGAAGAAGAAAAAAGGUGACGGCUAGGGUUAGAACUUAGGAGAUUUUGUGUGAGUGUUAUACUAUUAAAAUCAUGGAUUAAUGGAUUCUCUCAAGUGUGAUUUACACUUGAGAGAGAAUAAAGUGUAAUCUAACACUAUUUAAAUUCAUUUUCUCUAAAUUUUUAUAUGUUUCUCUCUCUUGAUCAAUGGUAACAAACCAUACUUUAUUCUCUCAAGUGUAAAUUACACUUGAGAGAAUCCAUUCCCGGAUUAGACUGAUUAAAUUUGCGGGUUCGUGGGUUAGCCCACUUAGUUCGUAUACCCAUAUGUGCGUGUGGAAAUGCUAAUGCACAUCUACUUUUUUUUUUCACCACCAGUAUAAUCUGGUUUGGGGUGCAUCAAAUGGUUUCAUCCCCUCCCGAUCGCAGUUACGGGGGAUCGAACCAUGGUCCUUCCUACCAAGUUCAGCGUCAAUCACCACUGAACCAACUAACGAUUGGUUCACACCUAUUCUUUUUUAUGAAGGUGUGCAUUAACAAUUUUAGUAGUAUGAAGGAGCCCUAGGAGUAGAUAAACAGAUUUCAUGCCAAACUUUUCUUUCUUUGAUGAAAAUUUCAUACGCGCUGACUUUGAUUACAUCUCUCAGUUUUUCUUUUUAGCGAAGAAAUAGACAAAGAAAACCCUAUGAUAUUUUUUUGGGGUUACGCCUACUAUACAGUACAGUAUAUGAUUUUUUAAAAGCAAUUUAUGACAGCGCAACAACCUAAAAAAGCUGAGUAUCUUUGUAAGAUUAGCAUUUUUUAACAUAAUGAUUGGUUUAGAAAUUAUAUUCAUAGUUUAGUCAAAAAAAAAAAAUUCAUAGUCAAGAUCACCCAUAGUCCCAUAUAUAUUCGGAGGAAAAUGUGAACACCAAGCCACUACCCAACGUGGUUGUUGACGUAAUCAUGAUGAAUAAUUAGAAAUUACUAGUACUAGCUAGGUCUUAAGUAAUUAAUUAAUUAAUCAAAUCACAUUGCUUAAUUAGAUUUUCCGGGUGAAUAGCAUAGAGGACAAAUGUGAUGACUUAAUGGGUCGAUGAAUACACGCCAAGUGUGUAUGAAGUUUGAAGUUGAACCACAACUAUCCACCAAACUUGCUACCAUAUUCCUUAUCAUAAUAAAAAAAGAAACCCCACCAUUAAGAAACCAAAGGCAAAGCAACUAGAUCUAUUUCUUUUUUGAACAAAGAUCUAAAAUUAAACGGCAUAAAUAACAGAAAAACAAAGCCAAAAAUGUUUAGUCCCUUUCCUAGGUCCAUGUCCUCCUUAGAGCAAUUCCCAUGAAUAUAAUUUAUAAAACUCAUUUGGAUAGUUUAUCUCUUAUUUAAUGGAUUUUAGUGUGCCACAUUACAUUUAUAUAACCUAUAAUAAUUUUACUUCAAUGGUAUGGUAUAUAUUUAAAUUUAAACAACUUAUAAGGUACCAUAUCUUAAUUAAUUUUUUAUUUGGUUGAUCACAAGUUCAAUUUAUGAAAUUCGUAUUGCCACGUAAAUAUGCUCUAAUAGAUAGUACAGUUGCAUAGUAUUUGAAACUUAAUGAUAAAUAAAAUACUUGUUGAAGACGCUCAUAAUUAUAAUCAUAAUGAAUUGAUCUAAACGAUAAAAAAUUAUAACCAACUUAAACAUAUACAAUAUGUGGUUAGGGUUUUAAUUUCUUCCUCCUACAUAUAAAAAAAUUUAGUUAAGAGAAGACAACUUAUUUUAAGUUUCCACGACAAUUAAUUGCAGUUAAAAUUUGUACCUAGCUAUAAAAAUAAAAAUUGUACACCCACAAAUAUAUAUUAGAUUUCUUAAAGUUAAUAUUUCUUUUGCGUAGGGCCAAACUAAAAGGGAAAAAAAGAAAGAAAGUCUAUGUUUAUCUUUAUUCCAAAUUCCUACCGUGUCUUUCACGCUAGCAGCAACUUCCAACAAAUUAACAGCUAUCUCUUUUCUUCUUCUUCUUUUUUUUUUUUUUUUUUUAAUUAAAAACCUCACAUAUCAUCAUAAGAAUGGAAUUUAUUUUGAUACAAUCAUCAUAAGAUUGAAAUUACAACGAAAUAGAAUGAUAUACAAUGAUCAUAUGAUUGAAAUUUAUUCUAUAAAAAAAGAUUGAAAUUUACUAAAAAAAAAAUCAUAUAAGAUUGAUACUACGAAAGAAAAUUACACACACAUGAAUAUUAUUAAUUUUGAUUGAGGAUACACGCAAUAUUAUUAUUGGCAAAUUAUACACAUUAUUCUUCACAUCACAAUAUAAUUCUCUUAAAUUUUUUCCAUUGAUAUCAAUCAAUUAUACCCAAACAUAAUCUAAAAUUCAAGAUCCAACAUUUUCUUACUAAAUCAUAUCAACACCAUUGGAGAAAAACAAAAGAAAAUACAUAAAAGCGUCAUGUGUACGUAAUAAUUUGCUCAAACUAGUAAUAACAAUAUUGAAUCAAACUUUAAAACACCAAGCAUGGUGAUGGUGGUGAGANNNN
rnacentral:lncRNA from 1 species